GAUGGGCUGCAUAGCUAGGAAGAGGGUUUCCUUGUAGGCAAAAAGAUGUAAUGAGGCAGUGAAACUUGUCUGGAAAGGCACUGAGGCCAGGGAGUAGUCCUGGACAGUCUUGUCUGUCCUCCAUCAAAUGUGUGUUCAGUGUCAGCAGUUUCCCCGAGACACGUAAACAUGGUGGAGGUGAUCUCAUCUGUGGAAUUGUAGCUGGGACAGGCAGUGCUUGCUCGCUUUAAACAACGCCGGCCUGUAAAACAUUGCUCUGUUCUCUCGUGAGCUGUGCGUUAAGCCUGAAAUCCUGACUCAGAGCUUCGAAAGUCGUGAAUGCAGAGGUACUUGAGGGUGGAGGAGGGCAAGAAGUGCACGAGGAAAGAUUACCAUAAGCCUGUCUCCUGUAGAUCUUUUCUCCCCGCCUGCGAUCCACGGAGUGGGUGGGAAACUGCGCUUCCUGCCUGACCAGCACCAGUGAGCGAGUCUCCCUCCUGGACUGGUGCAGUCACUGUACAGGCUGCCGGGUUGAACUGUUCUCCAGGGCUGGAUGCAGGAUUGAAGGUGGGGGUCUCACGAGAGCAGAGUAGAGGGAGAGAAUGGUUUCCCUCUACCUGAUGCUCCCGCUGCUGGGGAUGCAGUCCAGCACUAGGGAGAUUUCUGGGCUGCAAGUGCACACUGCCGGCUUGUGCUGGAGCAAGAGAAGGAAUGCAUUCAGGGGCUUUGCUGUUCUGCAGCCAUAACCAGAAAACUUGGCUAAUUUGUUCAGCUUAAUGGAUUCAAAUUAUCCCAAAAGAGUGGUUUUCAUAUCCAGAGCGCUAAAAUGGUCUAGCCGGGGAUCAGGAGAACUUGGACACCCAAAACUACAGCAGUUAAUAGCAAUUACCUUGUGGAAAGGUAAGAAAAGUCAACCUGGCUGUUCUGUGUUUUGUUUUGAAAAUACUGAAAGUGUGAUAUUGUAAAAGAUCUGCUUUGGAAAUAAUCUAAGGAAGCUGAGAUGGGAAUGACUGAUUGAGUUCUGCUGUUACCUGAUUUUAGCAGUCACAUCAGCAUAAUGUCAGAGGCAUUCGAUCGGCUGCUGCGUUGCCAGUUAAAAACUUGGUUUAUUGAUGGAAUUUGGUGUUGAAGCAGUCAAGGUCAGCUCCAGGGGAAGCUAAACAGAGGUUUCCCUAGCUGGUGAUUUCAAAAUCUUUCUGUUGGGAUUAAUCAGUUGAAACAGGUCAGCCUUAACCAUAGUUUUCAAUUUCUGUAGGUAUCUAUCCCACAAACCUAUUUUGCUGCUGUUUAAAGCAAGUGUUGUCUGAUGGUACCAACAUCCCUCAUCUUGACAUUCGCUGCAUUCCCACUUUUAUUACCGGGGAAUCAUUGGUUGCUUUCUAGUCCCUGUUUCUUAUGUUCUCAAAUGAGCUCUUACUUGUUAAAGUGUGGCAGCACUUGUUACGUAUUCUCCCUAAAGCUGUAAUACCUUUCAAAGGCUCCAGGGAAAGUUUUACCAGUGUUGGUUGGGUGGUUUUAGAAUUGGAUGGCACUCUGGAAAACUGUAACCAUGGGAGUCACUUUGCAGUUGGCUCUUCUGCUGGGGUGUGUAUUCAGCGUGGGGUUUGUGACAGAAAUAACCCAUAGAAAACAUUACAGGCUGAUGUGAAAUGAAGGGGAGUCCCUUGCUGCUUAGUGGAUGGUGUUCAAAGGUAGUAGAGUAAAAUGAUUUGACUAUAUAAAACCUUUCUCAGAUUUCUUCUGUGUUAGGCUUUGGUGCACAGCACAGCCCAUGCUUUGCUUUCAAAGCAAAAGUCAUUGCAAAGAGAUCUCUGAAAGCCUGGCUACAUGGGGCUUUUAGUUUUCAAGCUUAGUUCUUUUGGGUGCUGCAUGACUCAGUUCCUAUGGAAGCACUGUAGGACAGUUGUGAUGAGAGCUUGGCUCAUAUUACAGUAAUGUUCCCGAGAACUCGGAAAUUGCAGAAAACAACAUCAUCAAGAAAGUUGUGCUCAGAAAUACACUGAGCUUCCUGCAGUACUGAGAAGGGAUCUCCAGCCCCAGCAGCCAUACAGCUGAAAUGCUGAGCACUCCGUAUUUCUGGUAACAGUAGCUGCUUUACUUCAGUACUUCCAAACACAGGCUGAACAGUGCAAGGGCUCUUACACUGGAUUCAUGUAAUUUUAUGUCAUUGCAUUACUCUAUUUUCACCUUUUACGGUAUGAUUGAAACACUCAGCAUGGACUUUUCACAUCUACACACGUAUACUCCUCCCCAGUGUCUGCCAGAGAACACUGGCUAUACAUAUGCACUCAGGAGAACGGUCAAAAUGCAUUCCAAAUAGUGGAACUGAGAGUUCUUUCCAGCUGGGGAAAUGAAGAGUAUAUGUGCCUUUACAGAUUCCGAGAGCACGGGAAUGUUGCCCAGUAAUCUCCUGCACUACAUCUGUUUUCAUAUAUAAGGCUACACAGUGAAGAUCAAAAUUCUCUUGUUUAUUAGCAAUUAGGUAGCAAGCAGAGGAAUAUUUAGAAUAAAACAUAAAAA